AGAGACAUCGAGAUGACGCCCCUGCUCGAGGAAAUAUGGGGACUGGUUUGUAUACCAUAGGAAACUCCGAGUUUAUUAAUGCUGAAAAACCUCAAAGGUAGAAGUUUUCUCAAAAUGAUGGGUCUAAAGAAGAAUCCAGACUUGACAUGUUUGAGAGAGUCAUACAUUCCAUUUGACUACUUGUACGAGAUGCAUAGUCACAGCAAAUUUUAUCAUACUUAUCCUGAUGAGUUCACCCUUACAUCAUUA
rnacentral:lncRNA from 1 species